rnacentral:rRNA from 1 species
CAGGCUUAACACAUGCAAGUCGAGGGGCAGCAGGAUCUAGCAAUAGAUUGCUGGCGACCGGCGCACGGGUGAGUAACACGUAUCCAACCUGCCGAUAACUCGGGGAUAGCCUUUCGAAAGAAAGAUUAAUACCCGAUGGUAUAAUCAGACCGCAUGGUUUGAUUAUUAAAGAAUUUCGGUUAUCGAUGGGGAUGCGUUCCAUUAGGCAGUUGGUGAGGUAACGGCUCACCAAACCUUCGAUGGAUAGGGGUUCUGAGAGGAAGGUCCCCCACAUUGGAACUGAGACACGGUCCAAACUCCUACGGGAGGCAGCAGUGAGGAAUAUUGGUCAAUGGGCGCAGGCCUGAACCAGCCAAGUAGCGUGAAGGAUGACUGCCCUAUGGGUUGUAAACUUCUUUUAUAUGGGAAUAAAGUUUUCCACGUGUGGAAUUUUGUAUGUACCAUAUGAAUGAGGAUCGGCUAACUCCGUGCCAGCAGCCGCGGUAAUACGGAGGAUCCGAGCGUUAUCCGGAUUUAUUGGGUUUAAAGGGAGCGUAGGUGGACAGUUAAGUCAGUUGUGAAAGUUUGCGGCUCAACCGUAAAAUUGCAGUUGAUACUGGCUGUCUUGAGUACAGUAGAGGUGGGCGGAAUUCGUGGUGUAGCGGUGAAAUGCUUAGAUAUCACGAAGAACUCCGAUUGCGAAGGCAGCUCACUGGACUGCAACUGACACUGAUGCUCGAAAGUGUGGGUAUCAAACAGGAUUAGAUACCCUGGUAGUCCACACAGUAAACGAUGAAUACUCGCUGUUUGCGAUAUACAGUAAGCGGCCAAGCGAAAGCAUUAAGUAUUCCACCUGGGGAGUACGCCGGCAACGGUGAAACUCAAAGGAAUUGACGGGGGCCCGCACAAGCGGAGGAACAUGUGGUUUAAUUCGAUGAUACGCGAGGAACCUUACCCGGGCUUAAAUUGCAUUUGAAUAAUCUGGAAACAGGUUAGCCGCAAGGCAAAUGUGAAGGUGCUGCAUGGUUGUCGUCAGCUCGUGCCGUGAGGUGUCGGCUUAAGUGCCAUAACGAGCGCAACCCUUAUCUUUAGUUACUAACAGGUCAUGCUGAGGACUCUAGAGAGACUGCCGUCGUAAGAUGUGAGGAAGGUGGGGAUGACGUCAAAUCAGCACGGCCCUUACGUCCGGGGCUACACACGUGUUACAAUGGGGGGUACAGAAGGCAGCUACCUGGUGACAGGAUGCUAAUCCCAAAAGCCUCUCUCAGUUCGGAUCGAAGUCUGCAACCCGACUUCGUGAAGCUGGAUUCGCUAGUAAUCGCGCAUCAGCCAUGGCGCGGUGAAUACGUUCCCGGGCCUUGUACACACCGCCCGUCAAGCCAUGAAAGCCGGGGGUAAGGGAAGUACGUAACCGCAAGGAGCGUCCUAGGGUA